rnacentral:rRNA from 1 species
CCUACGGGAGGCAGCAGUGAGGAAUAUUGGUCAAUGGACGAAAGGCUGAACCAGCCAAGUCGCGUGAGGGACGACUGCCCUAUGGGUUGUAAACUUCUUUUAUAAAGGAAUAAAAAGAGGUAAGUGUAGCAUGAUGCCUGUACUUUAUGAAUAAGGAUCGGCUAACUCCGUGCCAGCAGCCGCGGUAAUACGGAGGAUGCGAGCGUUAUCCGGUUUUAUUGGGUUUAAAGGGAGCGUAGGUGGGUUGUUAAGUUAGUUGUGAAAGCGUCGGGCUUUACCGUUGAAUUGCAAUUGAUACUGUCAGACUUGAGUUCAGAUGAGGUAGGCGGAAUACGUUAUGUAGCGGUGAAAUGCUUAGAUAUAACUUAGAACCCCGAUAGCGAAGGCAGCUUACUAGACUGUGACUGACGCUGAAGCUCGAGAGCGUGGGUAGCAAACAGGAUUAGAUACCCGUGUAGUC